GAAAAGAAAAUGGCAUUUUUUUUAUAAAAUAAAUUAUCGAUUAUUUAAAUGAUUGGAAGGAAACAAACAAAAGAUGAAAAUGAUUGCCAACAAGUGAUGAUAGGAAUGCAAUGAUUACUGUCAACACCAAAGUUGAGUUGACCAUUGAGAGGAACAACAAUUGCUAUGAUCAUCUUGUUGAUAAUCAAAUUAUUGUCCAGUUACAGGAGAUGACCUAGUCAAGGAUCCUUUUACGAUGAACCCACCAAAAUUACAGAAUCAUCAACUAAAUUAUUAUUCGUAUUGUCAUUACUUUUUUUAUAUUCAAUCGUCAAUUGAAUGGAAAUGAAAAGCAAAUUUAUUUAUAUAAGGAAAGAUUAUAUUCAAAGUGCAAGCUGAUUGAUGAUAAUUACAAUUUGAUUUAACUUCCGUUUUCGAUGAUUUCACAUUAACUAUAAAACUAGUUUCAAUUGAAAGAUGAACAAUUUGACUUGUUUUCAAUGCAAUUCACGACAAUCAAUUUCAACUUUAACUCAAGAAUAGCAAAAAUCAUCACUCAGUAAUCAUUAACAAUUUACAUUUUCGCUCAACUUUUCUUCUUCAAUUGUGAACAUUGACUUGCAAUUGAAAAUGGCAAUUGAUCAGUUAUAAUCUUCUAAUUUAUAUCACUUUACUGACCAAAUGCUGACCAUUUUCAUGUCUUAAAUGUUAUUCAAUUAUUCAUCAAACAUUUCUGAGUUUUCAUUUCAUUCCAAUCUUAACUUAUCAAUUUAACCAGAAAACCUUUCAAACUUUCAUUAAACAUUGAAAUGCAAACAAAAGGUUUCUUAAGAGUUAAAGUUGACAAUCAAAGUUAAUGUUCACAAUUAAACGGUAAUCAAAAGUCGACUUUUCUUCAUUUAUUGAACCGAACAAUCAAAUUGAUGAUUAUCACGAUUAGUGUCAAUUGAAAAUCUUAUAGAAUUAAAUUCAUCAAAUUAUCGCCAUCAAUUAAAACAAUCCGAUUUACCAUGUUUUUUGUCCAAAUCAAAAUAUCAAAAUAUUUAUGUAUUUAUAAUGCAAUAGCAAAAUGUAAAAACAGAGUCUCAAUUAAUUUUAUCAAAUUUAAUAAAAUCAAAUUCAACUGAACACAUGGACUUAUUUCAUCAAUAACUCAGUUUAAAGUUAAUUUCAAUCAACAUGUUAAUUACUUCAAGAGUAAAUCUAAUUUACAUCUUUUCAUCCAAUAAUUGCUAUCGAUGAAUAAUGAGAAAACUUGUGAAAUUGAAUCUCAAAGGGAAUGAAAAAGAUUAACCUUUGGUCUUUCAUUAAAUUCAGUCAAAUUUGAUUCCAAUAAUUGGUUUUCCAAUUUAAUCAUAUUUUUAGUUUUCAUAUAUUCUGGUAUUAAUGAGAGAAGAAAGAUGAAAUUGAAAUUAUCAUGAAAAAUGUUAAAAAGAAUUUCGAAUCUCAUGAGACAAAUAUUGAAAAUUGGAUUCUUUUAACAAAGUAUAUAAAGUUAUUCGACUUUUCAUGUUAGUUCAGUUGUUUGAUUGAUUCUGUUGGAAUUAUCUGUUAAUCAGUUUAACGUUUUCUUUCUCAGAAAAUCCAAUAAUUUGUCAACUAUGAAGUUAACAUUUGUUUUCAUUUUCCUGUGUUUACUGGUUAAUCUGGUUUACUCUCAGGUAACAUUCACUAAAGACUGGAAACCAGGCGGUAAACGAAGUAAUGUUCAAUGUCGACUGAUUCCAGUUGCUGCGUCACUUUCAAGGGAAAGUGAUCAUUUUAAAGGUGGCUUAGCAAGUGUUGAGGAUGAUCGACGAAAGCUUGCUGAUAGCGAAUAUAUCAAUAAUUCUUGGUGAAUUAACAGACUUUUAUUUGGCAAACGGAACGACGACUGGACGGAAUCUUGUUAAAUGGAAUCACAAUUCAAUGUAUUUUAACUGAAAAACUGUAUUAAUGAAAAACAAUUACAAAGCCAAUAAAUGAAUAGCUUCUAACUAACUUCUGAAAA